rnacentral:lncRNA from 1 species
UUCUCCCUUGUCUCUUUCAACGUACAAGCUGUUGCUUUCUCUUCCCUUGAACGUGCAACUUCUAUUUCAGCUCCCCCUUGGACGACAAAGCAGCGGCUGAACAGCAAGGUCUCGAGCGUUCCUCCCUCCUCAAGAAAAUCCGAGACUUUGUGUGCUGCUGUGGUGGUCGCUCAACGACACCUCUAGCCGUUGUGCCGGGUCCAAAUCAUCGUAAAAAACUUCCAGGGCUGUCCUUGUGUUGCCGUUCGGCCACAAGUGAGGAUCGUCAUUAGUUUUGGUGGUGAGUUGUCUUCUAAAUCUAGACUAGGGGUUGAGUACCUCUAUUAGGAAUUCAUACAAGUUAAAAAUAUGUAGAUGGCGUUAGAUAUGGAUGGAUGUUGGUUAGGGAUGUUAUGAUAGCCAUAAAAAAUCUUAGAUAGGGUUUAGAGAGCAAGAUAAAUGUUGUGGAAGAAGAUUCAGACUAGAACAGUAGCUGAUUUCUGAAACAGUUUCCAGGACGUGUGUUUUGCUAAUUUCGUAGACAACUGUGUGUUGGGAUUUUGAAGGAAUUUUAUUCUGAAGAAAAGUUUGGGACAUCCUAAAUAGUAACAUUUAUUUUUCUUAGAAUUUUUAGAAAUUAAAAAGAUGACGAUUUUAAUGACGUCAUCCUCGGAACAGUAAUUCGGACAGUUUUGUAACUCCUGACCUGUUAUGAUUCAGAGGGUUGUUACUGACCUUUCGAGAUCGAAUUUCCAAUCGGUUUCUUCAUGAAAGUUGUUCAUUAUAAUUUUUAGUUUAACAUACUUGAAUUUCAAAUCAAACGGACUAGAUUUCGACCCAAAAAAGAACCGAUUUCGAUGAGUUAGGUUCUUUGGAACUGGACCCGAUUUUUGUGUUGGAUAGAGAGAAUUUCUGGGCCGAAUCCAGAGGGAUAUGGAUCUUGGUGUCUUCAUGAAAAAUGUUCUUUUACAUGUCCUUUACAACAUAUUCGAAUUUGGGAAUUUUCCGAGCUCGAUUGGUUAGGUUUCUGGAUUUAAAUUUGGAGACGCGCGAAGGCCUGGUUUCUGUAAAUUAGAACUAAUUUUAGUUUGAUGAUGGUUCUUGAUGCUUUGCUUGCUUUAAUUAGUGUUUUAAUGACUUGCGGAUUUAAUUUAUUAGUUAUUGAACUCUGAAAUUUCACUGUUCGUGAUGCACUGUUCACGUGCACUAUUCACCGAGAAUGAAAAGUGGUCUAAUUUCAUGUGUAUUGAUUUUAUGAAGUGAAUGGAUGUGUAAAGGCAUGGGUAUCCGCAUGAAUUGGGUGAUGUUUUGUGCUAUUGUAUGGUGAUUGAAAACUGUUGGUAUUUAAUUAUAAAAUACCGGGUAUCAUGUUUUGGACGCCGAAAGUGUUUUUAAAUACUAUACCAAACUGUAAGAUUUUAAAAGAGAUGACACAAAUUUUCUGGUUUGAUCUGACCGUGUCCCCACACACGAUUAUUUUACUAUGCAUUUCUAAUAUGAAGAAAAUAGGUCGGGAUCAUCAUUUUAAUUGAGGUAUUUGAGUGCAAUGCACGGUAUCCUGGGCUGAAGUUGAAUAAAUGUAUGAAUGAUAUGAAAUGCCGUCACAAGCUUUUGGGGCCCGAUGCUCCUUCGGGAAUGCCCCACGUCAACGGAUGCCGGUCGCAGUGGAGGCUGGACCGAUGCUCUUAUAUGGAAUGCUGUCUAGAUAUAGACAAUGCCGCGCUCGACGGUGCGAGGCGAUGCCCGGUUAUGCCAGAAGACUGUUAUCUGAAUAUUGAAAUCAUUUGUGACACAUGAAUUGGUGAAAGUGAUGGGCCUAAUUAAAAGACGGAACUGUGUGAUGGGGUAUGGGACGUGCCAUAACGGUUUAGUUUGGUAAUUGGGGACCCGUGUAAUUAUGUGACAUUUAUGUCCUUACAUAUGUACAUGUUAAAAGUAUUCUGAUGAUAUAUGAUCUCGAUAUCUCAUGUAUGAUUUGAUUGACACUAACAUGCAAGAAUGUACUAGUAUUAAGAAAGUAUGAGAAACAUGAUUAGAUUGCAUGUAGGAUGUACUCUUCGCCUAAUCUGGAAUUAGGGGAUUUACUCGCUGAGAUGUGAUCUUACCCCUUAGUGGGCUAACAUUUUUCAGGUCUCUACAUGGAGGAAUGCCGGGUCGUGUACAGUUAGUCGCAGUAAAAGAGCAAUAAGAUUGGAUGUAGGGUGAUGGCUCACUCCUGAGAAAUUGAGAAGUAUGGUAUUGUAGUAGUAAACCCCAGUCUUAUAGAUAGAAGCUUAGUUAGUGGGUAAUUGAACAGCUUCACUUUUUGUAUCAGACCUUGGGGUGUUAAACUGGUCUAUAUGUAUAAGUACUGUGAUGUUGUAGGUGUGGCUUGUGAAAAAUAAUAUCCUACGUUUCUAUCCCACUAUUUUGUUGUA